GCCGCGGUAGCUCAGCCCGGUAGAGCACUCGGCUGAAGACCGAGGUGUCGGGGGUUCAAAUCCCUCCCGCGGCA
rnacentral:tRNA from 1 species